GGGAUUAGCUAGUAGGUAGGGUAAUGGCCUACCUAGGCGACGAUCCCUAGCUGGUCUGAGAGGAUGACCAGCCACACUGGAACUGAGACACGGUCCAGACUCCUACGGGAGGCAGCAGUGGGGAAUAUUGCACAAUGGGCGCAAGCCUGAUGCAGCCAUGCCGCGUGUAUGAAGAAGGCCUUCGGGUUGUAAAGUACUUUCAGUCAGGAGGAAGGGUGUGAAAUUAAUACUUUCAUGCAUUGACGUUACUGACAGAAGAAGCACCGGCUAACUCCGUGCCAGCAGCCGCGGUAAUACGGAGGGUGCAAGCGUUAAUCGGAAUUACUGGGCGUAAAGCGCACGCAGGCGGUUUGUUAAGUCAGAUGUGAAAUCCCCGGGCUCAACCUGGGAACUGCAUUUGAAACUGGCAAGCUU
rnacentral:rRNA from 1 species